GAUGAACGCUGGCGGCGUGCCUAAUACAUGCCAGUCGAGCGAACGGACGAGAAGCUUGCUUUUCUGAUGUUAGCGGCGGACGGGUGAGUAACACGUGGAUAACCUACCUAUAAGACUGGGAUAACUUCGGGAAACCGGAGCUAAUACCGGAUAAUAUUUUAAACCGCAUGGUUCAAAAGUGAAAGACGGUCUUGCUGUCACUUAUAGAUGGAUCCGCGCUGCAUUAGCUAGUUGGUAAGGUAACGGCUUACCAAGGCAACGAUGCAUAGCCGACCUGAGAGGGUGAUCGGCCACACUGGAACUGAGACACGGUCCAGACUCCUACGGGAGGCAGCAGUAGGGAAUCUUCCGCAAUGGGCGAAAGCCUGACGGAGCAACGCCGCGUGAGUGAUGAAGGUCUUCGGAUCGUAAAACUCUGUUAUUAGGGAAGAACAUAUGUGUAAGUAACUGUGCACAUCUUGACGGUACCUAAUCAGAAAGCCACGGCUAACUACGUG
rnacentral:rRNA from 1 species